rnacentral:rRNA from 1 species
GAUGAACGCUGGCGGCGUGCCUAAUACAUGCAAGUCGAGCGAACGGACGAGAAGCUUGCUUCUCUGAUGUUAGCGGCGGACGGGUGAGUAACACGUGGAUAACCUACCUAUAAGACUGGGAUAACUUCGGGAAACCGGAGCUAAUACCGGAUAAUAUUUUGAACCGCAUGGUUCAAAAGUGAAAGACGGUCUUGCUGUCACUUAUAGAUGGAUCCGCGCUGCAUUAGCUAGUUGGUAAGGUAACGGCUUACCAAGGCAACGAUGCAUAGCCGACCUGAGAGGGUGAUCGGCCACACGGGAACUGAGACACGGUCCAGAGUCCUACGGGAGGCAGCAGUAGGGAAUCUUCCGCAAUGGGCGAAAGCCUGACGGAGCAACGCCGCGUGAGUGAUGAAGGUCUUCGGAUCGUAAAACUCUGUUAUUAGGGAAGAACAUAUGUGUAAGUAACUGUGCACAUCUUGACGGUACCUAAUCAGAAAGCCACGGCUAACUACGUG